UGGUGGAGUGAUUUGUCUGGUUAAUUCCGAUAACGAACGAGACUCUGUCCUGCUAACUAGGUUGUGUUUUCCCGGGUUGGUGUUCUGGUGUUCCUUCUCGGGGCGCCGGCCCAAUCCACUUGUGAACACAACACUCUUCUUAGAGGGACUGGCGGCUGUUAGCCGCACGAGAUAGAGCAAUAACA
rnacentral:rRNA from 1 species